GAUGAAGAACGUAGCGAAAUGCGCUAAGUAAUGUGAAUUGCAGAAUUCAGUGAAUCAUCGAAUCUUUGAACGCACCUUGCGCCCCUUGGUUAUUCCAAAGGGCAUGCCUGUUUGAGUAUCAUGAACACCUCAACUCUUGUGGUUUCCCACAAUGAGCUUGGACUGUGGAGGUUUUGUUGGCCCUGUGGUCAGCUCCUCUCAAAUGGAUCAGCUUACCGGUGUUUGGUGGCAUUACGGGUGUGAUAACUAUCUACGCUCGUGGUCGUCUCCAAAUAACCUCCAGUGAUGGAGGUUCGCUGGAGCUUAUAAAUGUCUCUCCCCAGUGAAGACAGCCUUUGAACGUUCGAUCUCAAAUCAGGUAGGACUACCCGCUGAACUUAAGCAUAUCAAUAAGCGGAGGA
rnacentral:misc_RNA from 1 species